rnacentral:rRNA from 1 species
CCUACGGGAGGCAGCAGUGAGGAAUAUUGGUCAAUGGACGAGAGUCUGAACCAGCCAAGUAGCGUGAAGGAUGACUGCCCUAUGGGUUGUAAACUUCUUUUAUAAAGGAAUAAAACGAGGCACGUGUGCCUUUUUGCAUGUACUUUAUGAAUAAGGAUCGGCUAACUCCGCGCCAGCAGCCGCGGUAAUACGGAGGAUCCGAGCGUUAUCCGGAUUUAUUGGGUUUAAAGGGAGCGUAGAUGGGUUGUUAAGUCAGUUGUGAAAGGUUGCGGCUCAACCGUAAAAUUGCAAUUGAUACUGGCAGUCUUGAGUACAGUUGAGGUAGGCGGAAUUCGUGGUGUAGCGGUGAAAUGCUUAGAUAUCACGAAGAACCCCGAUUGCGAAGGCAGCUUACUAAACUGUGACUGACAUUGAGGCUCGAAAGUGUGGGUAUCAAACAGGAUUAGAUACCCGUGUAGUC